UGGGGAAUAUUGCACAAUGGGGGAAACCCUGAUGCAGCAACGCCGCGUGAGUGAUGACGGCCUUCGGGUUGUAAAGCUCUGUCUUUGGGGACGAUAAUGACGGUACCCAAGGAGGAAGCCACGGCUAACUACGUG
rnacentral:rRNA from 1 species